AAAUGGAUCCUCUGGGUGCUCAACAGAAGGUCUUAGAAAUAGCUAAUAGCCUGGUUCUCAAUGUUUCUGUUGCUGUGGCUCACGAGGUGUCUGUCACUAAUAUAGUAGGUUCAGGAUUUUCACCAGCAAAAUCAUAUAUCAUGGAGGGUGGUAUCAGCACCUACUUGGGAGCUGCUCCUAUUGUUCGUUGCCUUGAAAAGUACCAACCAAAUGUAAUAAUUACAUCGAGAAUUGCAUAUGCUACUUUAUUCUUAGCACCUAUGGUUUAUGAGCUAGGAUGGAACUGGGAUGAAUUAGAACAUCUAGCUCAAGGAUCUUUGGCUGGCCAUCUUCUAGAAUGUGGUUGCCAACUCACG